GUUGUGAAAGGUUGAGCAAACUAUACCCACUAAUGCUUUGAUAAUAGUUCUUGUAAAUUUGUAUGUCUUUUAUAAGCUAUAAUAGGCUGGCGAUUAAAUAUGUUCAAACAAUUAGGGUUUAAUGAAAUAAGGUUCCAGUGUUUUGUAAUUAUAUUUUUCAGUUUCUGUAUAGAUGGGUUGAAUUUUGUUAACUUAACUAGUGGUUGUUCCCGUUUCGUUUGGCGUUGUAUAAGCAGGUUUUUCCUUUCUAUAUUUUGUGUUUGAUUAAAAAUUUCGUUGAUUUCAGAUAUUUU
rnacentral:lncRNA from 1 species